AAAUCUCCGCUUUGACAAUUUCCCUUUUUUUCUCUGCCACGCGUCGGGCUCAGAAAGGUCCAACGACCGGGUGCUGGAUUACCGGCUUCGCCAACCCGCGAGACUUCACAGCCGGCCUGGGCUUACCGAGAUGCAAAGCCUCCUGCGGUCCUAGACUGGACGUGGGCAGAGGGCUGAGGGCCUGGGCCAGAGCCACUUCCGGCUUGGCGCCCUCAGUCCUCUCGUCUCGUUGCUGGCUGGAGACUCCGGGACCCCGAACCCAGCAGGCACCUACGACCCCUGCACUGGAGCUCGGUGGCCGCCUGCGGUCCUCCCGCCGGCCGGCGCUCUAGCACCUUCCAAGCCUUGGAGCAGGGCCUGACGGUGCUGCCAGGGAGAGCCGGGCGCGGGGGCGGGAACGGCCUGGAAGGAGAGCUCAGUCCUCUUCCGGGGGGAGCCAGGGAGACUGAGAUACGGAGUGAAUGCGAGUGUUCCACGUUCUUUGCUAAACGUUGAGGAACAAGCGGUGAAAAGGCCAGAAAAGAUCUUUGCCCUCUCGGGGUUCCGGUCUAGUGAGGGAGACCGACAUGCAGAUAAGUGACACAAACAUUCAUUUCAAGUAGUGACAAGUAUCAGAAAGAAAGGAACGGGUGAAACAAUAUUAGGAACGGAUUGUCAGAAAGGGCCUCUUCAAGGAGGGAAGUUUUAAACUGAGACUUGGAAAAGACAAGAAGCCAUUUUACUAGGAUUUGGGGGCAGAACUUCAUGCACAGGAAACAGAAUGAAUAAAGGCCCGGCCACCAGGAAGAGACUGAAAUGACACCUCUCUUGGGAGGGAAGGUAGGAGAUGACUGCAGGAGGGGAGGCUAGAAGGUGGCAGUGCCCAGGACUGUGGUCCGAAGUUUCUCCUUGGCGUGUGGCAGAGGGUGGAGAAAGGAGGUUAUGAGGAUCGUUCACCCUUCCUCCUCUGGCCGUCGUGUGGCACGUGGUCAGACACGAUCCCUUGCCUGGGUUGUAAAGACAGCACUCUGUGGCCUGCACCUCUGUCACCUCCUAGAGCACCUGUUUUUCUCUUCUCAACUAACAAAGUUCUGGACUAGUCAUGAAGAUUAGUACUACAGUCCCCACAGGCCACUGACCAGAACAAGUUUGGCUCAAAUCUUAAGGAGAAAAUGGAAAAAAGGCCUGGAGGGCCUAAAUCCUGCACCCUCUUAAGUACCCCACACUCCUGUGGGCAUGCCCAGGUGACAGGUUCCUGGCGAUGCUGAACUCCCUGGGACUAAACCACUCUUUACUGAGCACUUCUUGUGUGUUAAAAGUUAGUGCUGGGCUAAGUGGUCUUACAUAUAUAUUCUCUUACUUAUUUAAUCCUUUCACAAUCUUAGGAGGUAGUGAAUCAGGAUUCAGUUCAACUACGAAUAACGGAUCCAAAAGAGCAGGAUCUUAACCAAGAUGUAAGUGUAUUUCUCACGAUAACAUGCGCAGGUGGGCUGGAGGUAGUCAGCCUACGUCAGGACAAGUGUGGCGGCCCUAGCCUGCAGAGCCAGCACGGACCCAGGCAGGCCCUCGUCUCACCGUCCCAAAACAAGGAGUCUCAUCUCACCGCCAGUAAAGUCUCCUCUCACCAUCCCAAAACAAGGAGUAGCAUUGAACCAUACGUGCUCAUGUUUAAAUGUUUUUAUGUAUGUUUUUGAAAGACAGCACGCAAGUGGGGGUGGGGCAGAGAGGGAGGGAGACAGGGUCCGAAGUGGGCUGUGCACCGAUAGCAGAGAACCUGAUGCCAGGCUCGAAACCACCAGCCGUGAGAUCGUGACCUGAACUGGAGGCAGACACUUAACCGUCUGAGGCACCCAGGAGCCCCAGUACAUGCUAAUUUAAACAUUUUUUUAUCAAAUGGGAAUACCAUGUACAAAUUGCAGAUGAAAGGAAUGAUUUCCUAGAGAAACUUUAAAAACUGUCAAAAUUGAGGCAGGAAGACAUGGAAAUUCUGAAUAGCCAGUAUCCUAUAGGGGAAAUAAUAAAAAUAAAUAUUUGUAUUUGUAUCUCUUUAA